AGUCAACAUGCCCAGAGGACGUGGAUAACCUCGGGAAACUGAGUCUAAACCGCGAUAAGUGAGGAUUUCUGGAAUGGUUCCUGACUAAAAUCUAUAUGGCCUCUGGAUUGGACUGCGGCCGAUCAGGCUGUUGGUGAGGUAAUGGCCCACCAAACCUGUAACCGGUACGGGCUCUGAGAGGAGGAGCCCGGAGAUGGGCACUGAGACAAGGGCCCAGGCCCUAUGGGGCGCAGCAGGCGCGAAACCUCUGCAAUAGGCGAAAGCCUGACAGGGUUAUUCUGAGUGAUUUCCGCUAAGGAGAUCUUUUGGCACCUCUAAAAAUGGUGCAGAAUAAGGGGUGGGCAAGCCUGGUGUCAGCCGCCGCGGUAAUACCAGCACCCCGAGUGGUCGGGACGAUUAUUGGGCCUAAAGCAUCCGUAGCCGGUUCUGCAAGUCUUCCGUUAAAUCCAUCUGCUUAACAGAUGGGCUGCAGAGGAUACUAUAGAGCUAGGAGGCGGGAGAGGCAAGCGGUACUUAGUGGGUAGGGGUAAAAUCCGUUGAUCCACUGAAGACCACCAGUGGCGAAGGCGGCUUGCCAGAACGCACUCGACGGUGAGGGAUGAAAGCUGGGGGAGCAAACCGGAUUAGAUACCCGGGUAGUCCCAGCUGUAAACGAUGCAGACUCGGUGAUGAAUAGGCUUCGUGCCUAUUCAGUGCCGCAGGGAAGCCGUUAAGUCUGCCGCCUGGGGAGUACGGUCGCAAGACUGAAACUUAA
rnacentral:rRNA from 1 species